AAGGAUCUGAUUGGACUGGGUAAUAUAAACAAUGGAGUUUAUAUUUUUGAUAGAGAGGCUAUAUGUGGAGCCACUCAAGACAUAAAGCUUUGGCACACUAGGAUGGGGCAUAUGCCCUAUAAUAAAUUGAAAUUGUUAGCUGAAAACUCUUAAAACUCUUGUAAUAGCUUUAGUUUUAACAAAAAUUCUGAAAUAAAUAAAAAUCUUC
rnacentral:lncRNA from 1 species